rnacentral:rRNA from 1 species
AGCAGCCGCGGUAAUUCCAGCUCCAAUAGCGUAUAUUAAAGUUGUUGCAGUUAAAAAGCUCGUAGUUGAAUUUCGGGGUUAGUAGGUUGGUCAUGCCUCUGGUAUGUACUGGUCUCACUGAUUCCUCCUUCCUGAUGAACCUUAAUGCCAUUAAUUUGGUGUUUUGGGGAAUUUGGACUGUUACUUUGAAAAAAUUUAGAGUGUUUAAAGCAAGCUAACGCUUGAAUACAUUAGCAUGGAAUAAUGAAAUAGGACGUUCGAUCCUAUUUUGUUGGUUUCUAGGAUUGACGUAAUGAUUAAUAGGGAUAGUUGGGGGCAUUAGUAUUCAAUUGUCAGAGGUGAAAUUCUUGGAUUUAUUGAAGACUAACUACUGCGAAAGCAUUUGCCAAGGAUGUUUUCAUUAAUCAAGAACGAAAGUUAGGGGAUCGAAGACGAUCAGAUACCGUCGUAGUCUUAACCAUAAACUAUGCCGACUAGGGAUCGGAUGAUGUUAAUUUUUUUAAUGACUCAUUCGGCGCCU